ensembl:lncRNA
AUGAACGCACAGGUCUUUACUCCUUGUGGAACCUCUCUUCCAGCUUUCAUUGCCUUCUCUGCCCUACAGAGAGCGUGGAUUUUUUCCCUGCACGCCAUUUCCCUCCUGGAUUCACAGCUUAACCUCUUCAGUGAGCUUGGGCUUUCACUAAAGGCAAGACAAGAGCUUUUGGUCGGUUUCAGCACUACUAAGAGUCUGGAGAAAAAAAGAAAGGAAGAAGCCAAGGAAUUUCUUCCUCUUUGCUCUGGGCAUCGUCUCUGGCAGGGGCUGUGUCUCCUCCCUAAAUCAGCUAUGGCACAUACAGACUUUUAUGUAGGUGAAAGAUUGUGUGGGUGCUAAGCCUUUGAAAUGUGUCUCUGGAUCACUUGUUUGCUAUGGCUCCAGGAAAAGGAUUAGAAGACUAUUAAUGAUGCAGUCUAUUUAAGGGGGCUUUCUCUAAGAUGACUUUUCCUCAUUUGGUUAUUUUUAAAGAGGAAAAAAAGUAUGCUCUCCCUUUCCUCCAUUAAUGCUCUUUGAUGAAUAGUGCAAACUAUCACCUGGUAUUUAUUUUUGUAAGCCCCUAAUUGCAGCUAAUCAAGCAUUUACUUUGCAUUUACAGGCUCUUGCUGCAGGUACAUUUUUAGCCAUCCUCGGUAAAGAAACGUAAUUGCAGUAGACCAUAGAAAUGAACAUGAGAAAAAGUAAGAGAUGAGUAUCAUCACUUAUUACUUAAGCAUACCUUCUUUUUUUCCUAGCCACAUAGAGAUCAGAAAGAGAAAAUAACAUUUUAAAUAGAAUUUAUGAAAUAGAGAAGCUGUUGGCAAAGAGCCUUGAUAAAAACACCAUGGUAUUUUCAUGUAAGGAAACUGUAUCCAGUACACUCAUUUUACUCAAAAAUAGAAUUAUAUAGUACUUAAUCGGUAAAUUUCAAAACCCAAAUCAAAUAUUAUUUUCUUUUCCAGAAUGUUUUUAUUUCUAUUUUAAAGAUAAAAAUGUUUCCUUGUCUAGAUCAGUCUGACCUACUUUGCCAUUUAGGAUAUUGGUAGAACAUACAACAAUUUUUAGACUUAAUUGAAUCUUAGUGACCAUCAAGUGCAGCCCUCUGCAUUUAACAGGAAAUUGAGACCAAAUGACUUGGUUAGGUGAGUAAGUGGCAAGCCAGAACCACAAACCACCCUCUUGACUCUAUUUUCACUGCUUCCUAUAAAUGUUAAUGGUUCUUAAAUGAACAGUAGUUUUUCUUCAAACUACGGGUACCCUUCCUCAGCAUUUCUACCCUUGUGAUUCUCUUCUAUUCCCUCCCCCAGUUGAAAACCAGCAUUUUAUAAUCUUCCACUUCUCAUAUCAAAAUGUAAAAUCCCAACUUAACUGUGAUGGUGGUCUCUGAUGUGUAAGAUUAAACUAUCUCUUAUGAACAAAUCAAUGCCAGUUUUCUAGAUUCCAUUCUUUUUUCCCACAGAAAAAUGGAUAUGAAAGAUAUGGAAAUAACUUGUCCAGCUCCAUGUCAGUCCUAAACAAAUUAGAUCAUAUCUAUAUGAUAGGGGCUAAAUAAUAAGAUAACCUGAACGACCUUAUCUUAAGGUAACUUCUUUUUGUCUAUUUCUAUUCAUUCGUUUCCUAAAACUUUACGUUCACAUCCCAGACUCUGUGUUGGGCUCCAGGGGCACAGGUCCUGCUGUUGAUGUAGGAGCUUAUUGUUAAGGUUUUCAAACUGGAGGUCAGGAAAAAAAAUAUUAAAACUUCUACCUGUAUUAUCUUUUUUCUAUUUUCAGCUUUUACCUUUAACAGAAUUAGCUGUUUACAUGUUAAAUUCUGUUAAAAGAAUUACAUGAUUAGAGUUCAAAGAGUCAAAAGAGUUCUACCAAAACAACAGGGUCCUGCUGUAUAGCACAGGGAAGUAUAGUCAAUAUCCUGUAAUAAAUCAUAAUGGAAAAGAAUAUGAAAAAGAUUG